rfam:Physcomitrella patens subsp. patens PHYPAscaffold_263 genomic scaffold, whole genome shotgun sequence.
AACUCUUAGCAACAGAUAUUUUGGCUCUUGCAAUGAUGAAAAACGUAGCGAAAUGUGAUAUGUAGUGUGAAUUGUAGAAUUCUAUGAAUCAUUGAGUUUUUCAAUGCAAGUUACGCCCGAGGCUCGUUUGAGGGCAUUCCUGCCAAAGCAUCA